UAGACAGCUAAUUAUUAUGCAUAUAUGAAUGUUGCUGCAGAAAUUUAGAAAAAGCUGGCAAUAGUGAUGCCGUUUUAUGAGCCUUAAGGACAGCUGAGGUCAUUGAGGUCCCUAAAAAUGGCUACAGUA